rnacentral:lncRNA from 1 species
UACAAAAAUAGAUCUUCAGAGAGCAUACAAUCUAGUAUGCAUCAAAGAAGGAGAUGAAUGGAAGAAUGCGUUUCGAACUAGGUAUAGACAUUUUGAAUACAACGUUGUCGUAUUGUGUGAAGUCUUGCUUGAGAAUGCUCCGAGCACUUGGCUAUAGAAGGAAGAAUAGAAAUUGCGAUAACAAAAUCCUAAUUCUAAUAGAAUAUUAACAAUGCUCUAAUUAGACUAUAAUAAUAGUAAACAAACGUAAUCAAAUUCAAAACAACUCAAAGAAAUUUCAAACAAACAAUAAAAUUCUUAAAGAAAUAUUAGAAUGAACACAAAUAUUACUCAAAUAUAUGUCAAUUCAACCUUAAUUUAAUUCUAGUUAAAACCCUAUUGAAUUUCACUCAAACUUUAGACCAAACCUAAUUAAAUCUUAAACCCUAAUAAAUCCUAAAUCCUAAGUCAAAUCCUAAACAAACCUUAAAUUAAACCCUAAAUCAAACCCUAUUUCAAACCCUAAAUCCUAAAUCAAAUACUAAAUCAAAUCCUAAUCCAAUCCUAAACCCUUAUUCAAACCCUAAAUCCUAAACCAAAUCUUAAAUCAAACUCUAAUCCAAAUCCUAAAUCAAAUCCUAACCAAACUCUAAACCCUAAUCCAAAUCCUAUUCCAAAUCCUAAAUCAAAUCCUAACCAAAUCUUAAUCAAAUCCUAACCAACCCUAAUCCAAACCC